rnacentral:rRNA from 1 species
UUAAGCAUAUCACUGAGCGCAGGAGAAGAAACUAACCAGGAUUUCCCUAGUAACGGCGAGCGAACCGGAAAGAGCCCAGCUUGAAAAUCGUGGCGCCCUGGCGCCUCGAAUUGUAGUCUGGAGAAGGUCCCUCUGCGGCGCGCCGGAUUCAAGUUCCCUGGAAUGGGACGUCCGAGAGGGUGAGAACCCCGUCGUAUCCGGAGUGCGUCGCUCCACGAGGACCUGUCUGCGAGUCGGGCUGUUUGGGAAUGCAGCCCUAAGCGGGUGGUAAAUUCCAUCCAAGGCUAAAUAUUGGCAAGAGACCGAUAGCGAACAAGUACCGCGAGGGAAAGAUGAAAAGGACUUUGAAAAGAGAGUUAAAAAGUGCUUGAAAUUGCUGGGAGGGAAGCGAAUGGAAGCUGCGGGUGCGCCCCGGUUGGAUGCGGAACGGCCGUCAAACGCUGGUCCGCCGCUCAACGCGGGGCGCUGGUCAGCGUGGGCCAUCGCGGCGGGACAAGAGCGGGGAUUCGCUUCCCGCCGAUGCCGCUGCGGUGGCCGAGGAACGAAGCGCGCGCCUUCCGGCGUGGGACUCGUCCCAACUGCGCGCUCGAGACGCUGGCGUAUUGAGCUCUUCAUCCGACCCGUCUUGAAACACGGACCAAGGAGUCUAACAUGUAUGCGAGCCGGUGGGCGGCAAACCCAUUGAGGCGCAAGUAACCUGACAGGUGGGACCCCGCUUGCGGGAGCACCAUCGACCGACCGUGAUCUUCUGUGAAGGGUUCG